CAUACACAGACUGCUGAGUCCAUACACACACACACACACAGAUUGCUGAGUCCAUACACACACACACACACACAGAUUGCUGAGUCCAUACACAUACACACACAGACUCUGCUGAGUCCAUACACACGCACACACAGACUGCUGAGUCCAUACACAAACAGACUGCUGUGUCCAUACACACACAGAGACUCUGCUGAGUCCGUACACACACAGACUGCUGAGUCCAUACACACACACAGACUGCUGAGUCCAUACACACACACACACUCUGCUGAGUCCAUACACACACACAGACUGCUGAG